rnacentral:sRNA from 1 species
GUGGAAGGUUCGUGUGUUAGAUGGGCGCCAGGGGCCGGCAGUGGGAAGCAGGGAGGGGUUUUUGGGGGCCUUUGGGAACAUGGAGUCCUAUCCUGUUCCGCCUGGGGCCUCGGUAGCGGCUUGCACGCCCCAAGAUGACGGCCGCUGCCCUAGGCUGGGCCGGCGGGCGCUUGCGCGUGUCCUGCUCCUCGUAGGCCCGGGACCGGCGGAUGGGUGUCGGGGUGACCAGGCCUGAGCUCCCUAUUUCUCCUCAGUGACAUCGUCUUUAAACCCUGCGUGGCAAUCCCUGACGCACCGCCGUGAUGCCCAGGGAAGACAGGGCGACCUGGAAGUCCAACUACUUCCUUAAGAUCAUCCAACUAUUGGAUGAUUAUCCGAAAUGUUUCAUCGUGGGAGCAGACAAUGUGGGCUCCAAGCAGAUGCAGCAGAUCCGCAUGUCCCUUCGCGGGAAGGCCGUGGUGCUGAUGGGCAAGAACACCAUGAUGCGCAAGGCCAUCCGAGGGCACCUGGAAAACAACCCAGCUCUGGAGAAACUGCUGCCUCAUAUCCGGGGGAAUGUGGGCUUUGUGUUCACCAAGGAGGACCUCACUGAGAUCAGGGACAUGUUGCUGGCCAAUAAGGUGCCAGCUGCUGCCCGUGCUGGUGCCAUUGCCCCAUGUGAAGUCACUGUGCCAGCCCAGAACACUGGUCUCGGGCCCGAGAAGACCUCCUUUUUCCAGGCUUUAGGUAUCACCACUAAAAUCUCCAGGGGCACCAUUGAAAUCCUGGUGAGUGGACCUGGUUUGCCUGUGCUAGACAGGCAAAUGGGGAGCUGCUUUUAGUGGCCAUGGAUCUGCUGGUUGUCCAACAGGUGUUUACUGCCCCA